GAAAAAUACAUGUACCUCAAUAAUUUUAUCAAGGGCAUGUUUUGUGCUAGAUACUACUCUUUAUGUUAGGAAUAUAAGCAAUUGUAUAAGAUACUUACAGAUUGCAGUAAGUGGUAAAAAAUAUAACAUGAAGAGGGAAUAGUGAUGAGAAGGUAACUAUAUAGGGGAGUGGUCAGGGAGUGCUUCACUGAAGAUGUAAAAUAUGAACUGAAACCUAUAUCCUGAUUUAAAAUAGCUUUGCAGAUGUUUUAGGUAAAUAGCAGCAAGCGAACAAUACCAAAGGUUUUUAUUUUUGUAAUUUGAAAUCAAUGUGCAGUAGAAUGACUCCUGCCUGCUACAUUUCCCCAGAUACCCAGGACCUUCAUGCUGUCACUCUCCAUGACCUGACCAACAUCUAUUUUGAGAAAUUAUUUUAUAUACUCAUUCAAACAGGGUUACUUAUUGGUUAUUUAGAAAUUCUGGAUAAAGACUCACAAGUCAAGCGGGG
rnacentral:lncRNA from 1 species